rnacentral:tRNA from 1 species
GGAGGGGUUCCCGAGUUGGCCAAAGGGGACGGACUGUAAAUCCGUUGUCUGUGACUUCACUGGUUCGAAUCCAGUCCCCUCCACCA